AGGACGAACGCUGGCGGCGUGCUUAACACAUGCAAGUCGAGCGGACAUCUUCGGAUGUUAGCGGCGAACGGGUGAGUAACACGUGGGCAACCUGCCCCUAGCUCUGGGAUAACUCCGGGAAACCGGGGCUAAUACUGGAUAUGACCGAUCCAUGCAUGUGGGUUGGUGGAAAGUUUUUCGGCUAGGGAUGGGCCCGCGGCCUAUCAGCUUGUUGGUGGGGUGAUGGCCUACAAGGCGACGACGGGUAGCC
rnacentral:rRNA from 1 species